rnacentral:rRNA from 1 species
AAUAAUGGUAAUUGGUGGCGACCCAGACACAACCAUGCAGCGAGAGUGCAUAGUGACUUCGAUAUAUAAAUAAUUUUAUGGAGGGAAAAAGGGAUUUAAACAACUGCGCUGAAGUUUUCACAUUAGCAACAGAUUAAUUUUCGGCUCACUCUAUGUCCGCAGCCGCGGUAAUACAGAGGGUGCAAGCGUUAAUCGGAAUUACUGGGCGUAAAGCGCGCGUAGGUGGUUCAGUAAGAUGGGUGUGAAAUCCCCGGGCUUAACCUGGGAACUGCUUUCAUAACUGCUGAGCUAGAGUACGGUAGAGGGUAGUGGAAUUUCCUGUGUAGCGGUGAAAUGCGUAGAUAUAGGAAGGAACACCAGUGGCGAAGGCGACUACCUGGACUGAUACUGACACUGAGGUGCGAAAGCGUGGGGAGCAAACA